UGCAAGUCGAGGGGUAGAAGGAGCUUGCUCCUUUGAGACCGGCGCACGGGUGCGUAACGCGUAUGCAAUCUACCUUUUACAGAGGGAUAGCCCAGAGAAAUUUGGAUUAAUACCUCAUAGUAUAUAUCAUUCGCAUGUUUGGUAUAUUAAAGUUCCAACGGUAAAAGAUGAGCAUGCGUCCCAUUAGUUAGUUGGUAAGGUAACGGCUUACCAAGACGAUGAUGGGUAGGGGUCCUGAGAGGGAGAUCCCCCACACUGGUACUGAGACACGGACCAGACUCCUACGGGAGGCAGCAGUGAGGAAUAUUGGUCAAUGGACGCAAGUCUGAACCAGCCAUGCCGCGUGCAGGAAGACGGUCCUAUGGAUUGUAAACUGCUUUUGUACGGGAAGAAACACUCCUACGUGUAGGAGCCUGACGGUACCGUAAGAAUAAGGAUCGGCUAACUCCGUGCCAGCAGCCGCGGUAAUACGGAGGAUCCAAGCGUUAUCCGGAAUCAUUGGGUUUAAAGGGUCCGUAGGCGGUUUAAUAAGUCAGUGGUGAAAUCUGGUCGCUCAACGAUCAAACUGCCAUUGAUACUGUUAGACUUGAAUUACUGUGAAGUAACUAGAAUAUGUAGUGUAGCGGUGAAAUGCUUAGAUAUUACAUGGAAUACCAAUUGCGAAGGCAGGUUACUAACAGUUGAUUGACGCUGAUGGACGAAAGCGUGGGGAGCGAACAGGAUUAGAUACCCUGGUAGUCCACGCCGUAAACGAUGGAUACUAGUUGUUUGGAUUUAUCUGAGUGACUAAGCGAAAGUGAUAAGUUCC
rnacentral:rRNA from 1 species